CAGUAGCCGCGGUAAUACGAAGGGUGCAAGCGUUAAUCGGAAUUACUGGGCGUAAAGCGUGCGUAGGCGGUGAGUUAAGUCUGCUGUGAAAUCCCCGGGCUCAACCUGGGAAUGGCAGUGGAUACUGGCUCGCUAGAGUGUGUCAGAGGAUGGUGGAAUUCCCGGUGUAGCGGUGAAAUGCGUAGAGAUCGGGAGGAACAUCAGUGGCGAAGGCGGCCAUCUGGGACAACACUGACGCUGAGGCACGAAAGCGUGGGGAGCAAACAGGAUUAGAUACCCCGUAGUCCCUGUCUCUUAUACA
rnacentral:rRNA from 1 species